UCCUACGGGACGCAGCAGUGAGGAAUAUUGGUCAAUGGUCGGGAGACUGAACCAGCCAAGCCGCGUGAGGGAUGAAGGUACAGAGUAUCGUAAACCUCUUUUGUCAGGGAACAAAGGCGGGGACGCGUCCCCGGAUGAGUGUACCUGAAGAAAAAGCAUCGGCUAACUCCGUGCCAGCAGCCGCGGUAAUACGGAGGAUGCGAGCGUUAUCCGGAUUUAUUGGGUUUAAAGGGUGCGCAGGCGGUCUGUUAAGUCAGCGGUCAAAGCCCGGGGCUCAACACCGGCCCGCCGUUGAAACUGGCAGU
rnacentral:rRNA from 1 species